UUCAUAGUCAAGCUUUAUCAAGACAUACCACUGACUUCUUUUGCUUCAGAACAUGAGCUCUCUCUGUCACUGACUGGCAGGCACUGCCCGUAUUUCUGAUCCUGACUCCUUUAGGAAGCCUAAAUGUGCUUAAUCUGAAGUGCUCUAUUCCCCUCAUUGACUGAGAUAGGACCUGCUCUAUCUCAUCAGGAAACCCGGACUGCAUUUUACAGCUUGAUGGUGUCAGCAUGUCUCAGCAAUAAAAACUGCUGUUCUCAAUGUCACCAAUCAUAUGGACGUCACAAAUCACUUGCAAAGUCAACAGACUCUUGUCUGCCCGCACAGUCUUCAGAAAAUGUGUCCAGGCAUAGACCACACUUUCCAGCCUUCCUUGUGGUUGGUGCAAUCAUGUGACUCAAGUCUAGGCAAAGGAUUACAAACAAAAGACAUACGUUUUACUUGGCCCAUCCAAAGCUCAUACAGCUGAUACUCCUCCUAAUUCCUUAACUGCAAGAAGAAAGAAAAAGUCCUCUAAGGAUCCAGGAUUGAUGUGACCACAGACUGAAAGGAGCUUAGACUUAAGGGGCCAAAUUCCCGGAGAGAAAGGAAGUUCUUUGAAAUGACUGAUGUGCUGGGGCUUAUGCUGAUGGAAGGAUGAGAAGCCCAGGAGAAAGUCAAGCAGAAAGAAGUGGUUUCACAGAUCCCUCGGAGCCUUCUGAGAAGAGUAAAACAAAAUUAAGACAAGAUUUGCCAAAAAGACCAAGGUCCCAGAGAGAAGGGAAGUAAGCCUAUUCUCAAGCUAGAAAA